rnacentral:rRNA from 1 species
UUGUCUCAAAGAUUAAGCCAUGCAUGUCUCAGUACAAGCCAAAUUAAGGUGAAACCGCGAAAGGCUCAUUAAAUCAGUUAUGGUUCCUUAGAUCGUACCAACGUUACUUGGAUAACUGUGGUAAUUCUAGAGCUAAUACAUGCAAACAGAGCUCCGACCGGAGACGGAAGGAGCGCUUUUAUUAGAUCAAAACCAAUCGGUGGCGGUUUCUCGCCGUCAUCGUACAACUUGGUGACUCUGAAUAACUUUACGCUGAUCGCACGGUCUUGCACCGGCGACGCAUCUUUCAAAUGUCUGCCUUAUCAACUGUCGAUGGUAGGUUCUGCGCCUACCAUGGUUGUAACGGGUAACGGGGAAUCAGGGUUCGAUUCCGGAGAGGGAGCCUGAGAAACGGCUACCACAUCCAAGGAAGGCAGCAGGCGCGCAAAUUACCCACUCCCGGCACGGGGAGGUAGUGACGAAAAAUAACGAUACGGGACUCAUCCGAGGCCCCGUAAUCGGAAUGAGUACACUCUAAACCCUUUAACGAGGAUCAAUUGGAGGGCAAGUCUGGUGCCAGCAGCCGCGGUAAUUCCAGCUCCAAUAGCGUAUAUUAAAGUUGUUGCGGUUAAAAAGCUCGUAGUCGAAUCUGUGUCCCGCGCCGCCGGUUCAUCGUUCGCGGUGUUAACUGGCGUGNCGCGGGACGUCCUGCCGGUGGGCUUAGCUCGCNAGGGCGGCCCAACUCAAUCCCGCCGCGGUGCUCUUCAUUGAGUGUCGAGGUGGGCCGGCACGUUUACUUUGAACAAAUUAGAGUGCUUAAAGCAGGCUAAAACUUUGCCUGAAUACUGUGUGCAUGGAAUAAUGGAAUAGGACCUCGGUUCUAUUUUGUUGGUUUUCGGAACCCCGAGGUAAUGAUUAAUAGGAACGGAUGGGGGCAUUCGUAUUGCGACGUUAGAGGUGAAAUUCUUGGAUCGUCGCAAGACGGACAGAAGCGAAAGCAUUUGCCAAAAACGNUUUCAUUGAUCAAGAACGAAAGUUAGAGGUUCGAAGGCGAUCAGAUACCGCCCUAGUUCUAACCAUAAACGAUGCCAGCUAGCGAUCCGCCGACGUUCCUCCGAUGACUCGGCGGGCAGCUUCCGGGAAACCAAAGCUUUUGGGUUCCGGGGGAAGUAUGGUUGCAAAGCUGAAACUUAAAGGAAUUGACGGAAGGGCACCACCAGGAGUGGAGCCUGCGGCUUAAUU